AAUUCUCAAACUGGGAUGCUUUUUUGUUUCUCGGCUUGGUGUUGGGCUUUGCAGUUCCUUUGAUUGGGAUGGCUGGCCUCAAAAGCAUUAGCUGGCUUUUCAUGUGGCAUUGGUUCUACUCAGCGUGAUAAUGAUCUGACCGCCGAGGACAUCUUUCGAGAUGGCCAAUUCUCAUUUGGGCUGCUUCUAAUUUUGGUAGAGCGGAUUCUGAAUCUGUUCCACUUUUUCAGC
rnacentral:misc_RNA from 1 species